AAUGAACGUUGGCGGCGUGGAUUAGGCAUGCAAGUCGAGCGAGAAAUUCCCUGCUUGCAGGGGAUGGACAGCGGCGAAAGGGAGAGUAACGCGUGGAUAACCUACCCUGGGGUCCGGAAUAGCUGCGGGAAACUGCAGGUAAUGCCGGAUAACAUCUUCGGAUCAAAGGUGUGAUUCCGCCCUGGGAGGGGUCCGCGUCCUAUUAGCUUGUUGGUGGGUAACGGCCUACCAAGGCGACGAUGGGUACCGGGUGUGAGAGCAUGGCCCGGCUCACUGGGACUGAGACACUGCCCAGACACCUACGGGUGGCUGCAGUCGAGAAUCUUCGGCAAUGGGCGCAAGCCUGACCGAGCGACGCCGCGUGCGGGAUGAAGGCCUUCGGGUUGUAAACCGCUGUCGGAGGGGAGGAAAUCGUAGGGGGCUAUCCCCCUAUGUUGACCUAUCCUUAGAGGAAGGACGGGCUAAGUUCGUG
rnacentral:rRNA from 1 species